ensembl:snRNA U6 U6 spliceosomal RNA
GUGCUCACUUCAGCAGUACAUAUACUAAAAUUGAAAUGAUACAGAGAUUAGCAUGGUCCCUGAACAAGGAUGACAGGCAAAUUCGUGAAGCAUUCCAUAUUUAA